GGUAAACACCUUGUUCUGUAACUCACCUGUGAAACGCCCAAGACUCACCAUUGCUGUCGCUUGUGUGCUCGGGAGAGUGCGUGGUAAUGUAACACCAUGCACCAAAGUAGGAAGUACUCACCGAUAGCUCUGGAUGUCGUUAAUAAAUCACCACUGACACAGAGGGCGAAGACUGUGGACUAUAGUCGAGGGGAAUUGUUCAACCCGCCCAGUAUGCACCAUUUGAAAGUGAAUGGGGCCAGAGCCGUCCGGAGGCAUAUCUCUCCUCCAAGCCGCAGGCUGGAGAGCAUCGAGGCAGUCUGGAGCGAGAGAAGAGCAGACUCGUUACCAAACCUUGUAGAGAGAAGACCGGAUCCGGAGAGCAGACCGGGCCCGGUGAAGGUGAUGAACCCCGCUGAGAACGGCUGCCCUGGCCGCGGCAGUAGGAAAAGGGGGUUCAAGCCCCCGGAUGUGAGGACCAUAUUCUCCCCCAGUGAGAGAAACUCCCGGGCGAGGGAGGAGAGCGGGGAGGGACACACCUUCAACCUAGGUCUUUCGGGCGCAUGGUGCGAUGUGUGCUGCGAGUACAUCCUCCGCUUCUCCCUGAUGUGUUCAGGGUGUAAGUAUACCUGUCACCCAGAGUGUCGAGAACGAGUGUCGUUGGACUGUCACCCCGGUGGUCCUGUUACCGUUGACACCCCCAUCAGCCCCUUCAGCCAGGACCACCUCAACGACAAGACACAGCCCAUUGAUGUGGCGCAGGAAAGGGAGUUACGGACUCAUCUCAGCAGAGAGGAGAUCAGACAGAAGGUCGAGCUGUACAACAACUCCUCCAAGGACCACCUCAAAAUGACCCUGAACCCCAGUGGUGUGUAUACAGGGUUCAUCAAGGUGCAGUUGGAGCUGAGGAGACCCAUCACAGUACGAGGAGGUGGGGGAGGAGAGGAGGCCUUCUACCUCCCCCAGGGGGCGACUAACACUCUUCACAUCAGCUCCAACAACACCAUACGACAGGUGAUCCAGGCCCUGUUGACCAAGUUCACCGUAGCUGACAACCCUGCUAAAUAUGCCCUAUACAAACGCUGCCGCAGGGAGGAGCAAGGAAUACCCCGGCAGGGCGGAAACACACACACACACACAGCGUGUCCAGCAGCAGCUGCUCUCCAACCUGCCAGCCUGUGGAGAGAAGGCCCCAACAGUGUACAUGUGUAAGCUGUCGGAGGGAGAGCACCCGUUGUUCCUGCGUCUGCUAGCAGGUCCCAACACCGACACACUAGGCUUCGUCCUGAGAGAACAGCAGACUGGCGAGGUCAUGUGGGAAGCGUUCUCCAUCCCAGAGUUGAGUAACUUCCUGAGGAUGCUGGAGAAGGAGGAGACUGAGCGGGUGUGUUCCGUGACGCGUCGCUACGACAACUACAGACUCAAACUGCAGGAGGCCAUGAGCGCAGCAGGGGGGCCGGGGUAACUACUGCCCCUGAAGGAGAGGAGAGAGGGCUGGGAACCAAAAGCCAGUCUGAGGGACACUGAGGGGGAAACUGGUCCAACCUGAUUCAGAAACUGGAGAGAGACAGACAGCUGGAGUUAACUCCAGAUUGUACCAGUGGACCCUGUGUGCAAUACACUGGAUGGACAAUAGAGGGCAGCAGUGGUUCCACUGCAGUCAGCCUGGACUUCAUUCAGGAGCACUCAAGAGACUAGCUCCAUGUCUUUACUGAGUAGGCCUACACCUGGUGUGCCAUGUUCACUCUUCUGUUCACUCUCUUCCCAUCCUUCUGGUUAGUGCAUUCUUUCUAGUUAGUUGUAUUUUUAUUCUGUUGGAAUUACCUUUUUGAACAUGAAUGAUUCAAACCCCAAAAUAAUUGAUUCAAUUUAUUUGUACUUUUUAUUUAAUUGGGGGAUGCGUUGCUUUGUACAUAUUGUUGUUUUAAUUUAUGUGGGUGACGCUUUGUUCUGUUUCUUUGCUGAAAUGGUUUUAUUGUGUUCUAUGAAGGCGUGGCAGCAAUCCAACCGCUAUAGGGACCUAGUGUGCUCACUGAUUUCUCUCACAGGGGUUAAUGCAGAGAAAACACGUCGGCAACAAAGGCUGGACUGGUUUAUCAUGGAAGUGACUCCGUAUUAAAGGUAACUGAGAGAUGGACAAGAUGAGUGAUUGUAUUUAAACUGAAGGUUGUGAUGGUCUUGAAAGGAGAAGCAUAUUUGGUGUAGCUGUUUAGGGUUUAGAGGUCAGGAUGGGAGUGUUACAGCUUGUGACCCGACUGCCAGUUAGUGGAGUUUGAGCUGAUCUCUGACCUCUGGACAUGCCGUGAGAAUGGAAAGAUUUUAGGAAGUUGACUAAUGGUUUUAGAGGAAGUAGAAAAGGAACUUAGAAAGCUGUGUAAAAAAACAAAUAAAAAACAUGAGAAAUGAAAUGGAUGUGACAAACAAGGUUUUUUGGAGUUCUAUGUUGAAAGUUCAGGGCCUAGUUUAAACCACCUCUGUUGGAGCCAGUGCCAGGCCUGUGGCCACAGAUAACAUGGUUAGGAAUAGCAGCAACGGACAAUGGCUAUAUUGUUGCUGUUCCUCUGGUAUUCAUUUAACAUGGCUACAUCUGUCCUAAUCUGCUCUAGGGCUGGUAAGAUAAAUUCUUUAAAUCAGCCUUCUGUUGCACCAGCGCGUGAACCCUGAAGCAAAGCUGCAUGGGACAUCAGGAAAUGGAUGUGCUAAAAGACCAAAGAGACUAGUCCGUUAUUGUAAAGGUGAAGUCACAUGACCAUGUGUUCAGUCUCCUAGACUAGGAGAGAGCGGGUAGAACUUGUUGCUCUGAGAAGUUCUCGCAUUUUGCCUCCCUGUCCGUCUCUCUCAGUACUGUAUGUACAUCUCUACCAGGGUUGUAUCCAUCUUCUGGUAGUUAUAGGGGAGGUCAUUUGAACCGAAACUGUCCAUCUAUUGCAAAGUACAAUCAUUUCAAUGGACAGAGCAACAAGUUCUCGCAUUUUGGGCCAUCAACCCUCAGUACCGUAUCCAAACACACUGACCAAUUGCAAGAAUAUGUUGAAUUGGCAUCUUUAAAAGCCUUGUUGUUUAUCUGCCAGUACUAUAUGACGUUUUUCUGAUGGUAGUGCAUUAUUUGCCAUGUUUAUCUCUAUAGAAGAGUAGUGGUGUGGUUAUAUAGCCCCACCUUAUGGAUAAAUGGUGUAACUGACCUCUCGGUCUUCACCUGCAUCAAACUGUUUAUCUAAAGCCUGUUGGUGAUAUGAUGUGAUGUUGCUUUCUGUUUUCCUGUUCUAUAACUGAAGAUAUUCUAAAAUGUUUAGGUUUUGCCUGGUGCAAGCUCUUAGAAGCCUCAUAAAAAUUAAGGGUGAAUGUUAUAGCUAGAGUUUAAGGGGUUACACACCCAGAACUUAAUUUGUUUAAUCACUGUGUUAAUGGAAUUAGAUAUGGUAAAAUAAUCUAUUAUAUUUUAGAUCCUAAAGCCAUUUUCUUUGUAAGCCCUGCUAAAUGGUGUUGCAAAGCACAGUGUUACAUUGACAGAUACCACUGGCCCUGUGUUAGCUAGUUAGAGGUCUGCACAUCUCAGCAUCAGGGCUUUGAACCAGACCAGUUCAUAUCUAUUGCCAGCGCUCCUAUCGGACCAGUUUACUGUCUACUGAAGCUUCUGGGCACUUUAUCUUUUAAUUCAGGGAUUUUUUCUUUUCUCCAUUUACCAGAUCCGGUCUUCUAUUAUAAUUCUAGACAAUGUUUCAUAAUUAGGCCUUUCUUAUUGUAAUACGAGUGGCUUUUAUGAAAGAUGUUGGGUGUUUCUAAAACUUGAUAUUUAUACAAGCUCCUGUAUGAUUUGUCAGACUGUGAAAGUUGGUUUAUCUUCAAUUGUAUCAUGUUAUGGGCAGUGCUGUCUGGUUGGCUUUUAAGUCUGUUGUAGGAAUAUGACUGCUAAGGUAACCCAUAUAAAUAUACUAUAAUGCAUGCAUUAUCUACUCUAAUGCAUAUAGGCCUACUAUGUGGUUCUCAUGGAACCAUAGGCCAGUACUGUUGAACUUGGAAAUGUAUGAACAAUUUAUAUAGAUAUACAUAAACUAGAUGGAUGCAUAACUGUAUUUGCCAAAGAUCUUCCCCCGUCUCUUCAGCUAUGCUCUUAUGGUCUAUGCUGAAGUGCUAUAUGCAGAGACUGUAAGAUCUAUACCUGGAAUGAUUCUGCUGACAGUGUUAGUUAUGGUUCAGUACCAGGAUGUGGAUGAACACAGCAGCUGGGGGCACAGCUUGGAGGAGACGGGAUGCAACUGACAUGUUUUAAUGAAAAAGACUUUGCUAUAUUCUAUUUAUAUUAUUGAUGAUGCAGGUUUAUUUUUGUAGGUAACUGUUUAUUUUUGGAUUGUUACCAAAUGUGGCCUUUAGAGAUCUAAAGGACUGAAUUCAUCUAUUAAAGUUUAAAUUGUACAAAAAAUAAA